UUUGAAUAAAAGGGACAGAUGUGGCUGCUACCACCACUUCCCACUUCUUCCUGCUUUGCACGUGGAUAGAAAGCCUGGAAUGGCAGCCAUUAGCCUUCUCCAACCAGGAGAGACAGCCCGAGAGAACUACAGAGAUACACUCUUCUGGGUAUUGCUGUGCGGCUGAACAAACUCUGGAAUCAGCUGAGAUCUCGUUUUGUGAAAAAAAUAACCCCCCCUUUUUUUAAGCCAUUGUUUGUCCAGUACUCUACUGUUAUACGCAACCAACCACUUUUUAGGUAAUUGUGAGCAAUUGUAUUAGUGCCCCCAACUCUUUACUCCCUUCCCUAUACCAGGAUUAUACACCCUAUGAAUUGCAUGUGAAUUGCAGCACCCCCCAGAAGUGGUGUGGCCUUCUCCAUCCCUGACAGACUUGGGCACAUGACAUGUUUUGGCCAAUGGAAUACCAGCAGAUAUGACUCACAUUCAUAUGCUAAGGCUAAACCAAAAGCAUCUAAAGAGAUUGUGUAAUCCAGUUCUGUCACUUACUGUGUUCCAUCAGCCAUAAGGACAACUUGUCCCAAGUAAAGGCUGCUUCUUUGACCCAGGUCUCAGGAUUAAAAAUGCAUGGAGCAGAGGUACAGCAGCUGACAUGUGACAAACAUGAAAUAAAGGUGUCUUGUUGUAAGCUGCUAAACUUGGGGUUGUUUGUUACUGCAGCAAAGCUGACUAAUACACUGGAAAUGAUGCUGUUACCAAAAAAAAAAUUGUAUGGAUGUUGGGUAGGCAGAAUUAAUGAAUACUGACUCUUGAAGGCCUUACUGGGAAAGUGACAAUGACGCCUGAAAAAUAAUCCGCCAUGCCAAGAAUCUGGUGGAGCGUAUCCCAGGUCAGGAACCACAAACUCAAAGAUCUGAGCUAGGAAAGCACUUUUAGCAUUUUCUAAGAAAUUGCAAGAAGACCAGCAUGGCUGGCACACCCUCGUUCUUACUCCUUACUCUGUUCCCAUUCCCCCUGUUUCCCAAUCUCUUGGCUUGGACUCAUGCUUCUGGUGCCGCUGGCAUCUCCUUGGACUUGUUCAACCAGCUCAGAUUCACGGUCCCUGACUAUCCAUCUCUCAGGACUCACCUUGACUCCACCUCUGGCUCAACCCACUCGUAGCUACUUGGGGCAUCCCACUUGCUUAUAUGCCAGCUCUGACCCAGGAACCAAACACCAGCCGGGACCCAUUCUGGACCCCAAGGAAACACAAGGCCAGGCGACAGCCAAGAGAGGGCUGUGUCUUUACAAUAACUCCCCUCUCGCUUGGGGGGACCAGAGAGGAUCUCCGUUCCUUAUAACGGAAGAUGUUCGGACCUGCUCUGAAUGUUGCCCACAGCGGUGUUAUCUAGCCGACUCCCCAGCGUGGUUAUCUGGACAAGUGCUACCUCCGCCUCAAGUAGAUCCUUUGGGCGAAGGUUUGGCUUUUUUUCACAUGGAGUCAAGGUGAGCCUACGUAGCGAGGAGCUAAGGACGGACAGGGAAGUGGAGAGAUGGGGAAGCACGAAGAUGGAGGAUGACUGAGAGACGGAAGAAGCCGCUGGCUCCUCUGAAAUUCACAAGCUGGGCCCGUGGGGGCCAAGUUCAGCCUUGCAGGCAAACAUGUUUUGUCAGGCAGGAACCAUGGCUUUUAAAAUUCUGAGUAUAAAUGCUUUGGGGCAAGAACGCAUUUUUUGUGCGCCAUAGUCCCCGCCACUCCCUAUUGUCACACAUCCGAUAGCUUCCCUCAGUCACAGCACCCAGCUGGCUUCUGUAGCCAAUACAGUUUGUCAUCGGUGCUUUAGGUGAAACACUCGGUAAGAAAGGGUGAGGAUCUAUCAUUCAGUUCAACCCCGACCUCAGUUGAAAUCUCUCUGCCAGAGUCCCACCUUCAUUAGCCUUCCUAGCCUCUCUCUGUUCAUCGUUUUCAUGCACCUGACGUGCGAACCUGCAUUGAAAACCAAAGGAGCAGCUCGCGUUGCUUUGGAUUUGAAGGGAGAUGGAGAACUGGCACCUCUUCGCCAGCUGCUGAAACUUGAAGAAUGACCUCAAGAAUUCCCUUUGGAGGGGGAAGAAGGCUCUAGAGGGAUCAUUUCUGCCUCUGGGACCAACUGACUUCUCCUGGGAGGAAAAGUCAAGCAUGUCUCUUUAAACUAGAGGAGAGGGGAAAGAAAAUGCACGCUGGGACCGCCCGGAUGGGGAAGCCUGGCCCCACGGCAGGCCAAGGGCAAGGGGCAGUGUGUCCAGGCCGGUCAGAGCCACUCGGGCUGCCUUCCCCAGCUCCGCCUGAACUUUCGACCCCAUUGUCUACUCUAAUUACUGGAACCAGCAGGAUUAAUUCCUCGACCUACUUUCCAGUCCUUUCUGCUGCCACGGGGCGAUAAGGCCUCGCUGGGCUUCUCUCUCGUUCUAAUGCAGCAGGACGUGCUGAGAAGUUACAUGCGAACUCGCAUUUGAACCAAAGGAGCCUCUAGCUCAUCUUUGAGCUGAAUCGAGGGGUGGGUAUUGCCCCUUUUCAGCUGAUUCUAAGCAUUCAGGUUCUCCAAAGUUACUCAACAAAGGGCAAUCAAACUCAGGGGGUGCGGGGGAGCCCUAUUUUGAGAACAAUGGGAUAUGGAAAUAAAAACAAGAUAUCUCAUAUCGAGUAAAUUAGCAUAAAACGUGAACUGAUCAUACCAAAUGCUGGUGAGGUUGUAAGAAGCCUGUACGUUCACAAGUGGCUGGCUGGCACAAUUUUAUCAUCAUAUGGCUGCGUCCACCAGGGGCCAUUAAAAACAUCGCCCUCCAUCGAGCCAGUCAUCUCAUGGCUGGGAAGUUAUCCAAAGGAAAUGGUUCAAAGGAAGGAAAAAGCUGUAUACAUAGAGACCUUCCCCGCAGCCCAGACACGGAACGGCACAAUGACCUGUAGGCUGGCAAACCCAUGGCCAGCGUCAGCCCGAGGCGUGUUUUGAUGCGGCCAACAAGCUAAGAAUGAUUUUUUUUAAAAAGCAUUCUUGACAGAUUGUUAAAGCCAGCAAGCAAACAAAGGAUAUGUGAAGCUCGCUGACCCCGGAGUAAGAGAAAACUAUAAAACAACACGACAUUAAGCUUCGCCGAAUAUAAACGGAAUGUUCGCUAUGAUAUCAACCACGUAAAAAUGUGUCAUGUGCUCACAGGCAGGAAGAGAAGGCAAAAAACCAAAAUCUGGUAUUUGGGAGUUAUUUGAAAUGAUUUAUUUUUCUUAAAAAAAUACACAAAACUCCUUCUUAUUGAAAACAACCCAGAUAUACUACUGGGCAGGGGCGUUAUUCUGUGAAAGCCACAUUCUUAGGAGGGAGUACUAUGCAGCCAUUAAAAAAUCGUGGGGUGGGUCUGCAUUAGCUGAGAUGGGAAGAUGCCCGUGACAGACCGGCAGGUGAAAAGGCACCUUCUGAGAAAACAGCCUGCCCGCGGUGACCUCCUCCUACACAAACUGAAUUAUAUCUCAGUGUUGCUGUUCAAAAACUUGAUUCGUGGCUCCUGAAAUUUGAAUUGUAUGUAAUUUUCAUGUACCACAAACUAUUCUUCUUUCGAUUUUUCUCCCGACCGCGUCUAGGUGUCUAAAACGUUCUUAGCUCGCUGGCCACGCACCUCAGGGGGCAGUCCUGAUGUGGCCCAUGGGCCACCAUUUGCUGACUCCUGAGUUAAAACAGGGGAGGUGCUUGCACAGAGCCGGCAAGCAAGACUUGAAGCUUAAAAGGAGUCCAUUGGCCUCUGUGCGGCUGCUUCCUCCGACAGAAGAUGGGCCGGGACCGCUGGGGGUGGCGUUGAGGAAUGCAGGCUGCGUGCCUACAGCAGAAGCCUCCCUUGGGAGUGUCCAUAUGUAGGUUCUCCAGGUCCCAGGCUCUCGAGGUCGGGGGACUGUUGGAUCAGCCUGGAUCACUGCGUCUGGUCCGUCACUCGUUGGUCUCGUUCUGCCAGCCACAGUGCCCACCUCCCGCUCCUAUGUCUCAGCAGGGUUUGCAAUGACGGUCCCAGCAGCCUCCCCUCGCAGCUGAUCUGCUUCAUCACCGCAUGGAGGGCUGUGAAAGUGCAGACAGCCCUGGCUUUCCGGGCAGGAGGGCCGCUGCCGUAUCAGACAGCGGCUGCAAUAAUUAACCAUGCGGGGACAUAAACACGAAUAUUGGACAGCGGAUGCCUCACACGUGACCGAAAGCCCCUGACUCAACAAAGCCUGUGCUCGCUGUUUCCUCAUCGCGCUUCCGCUCUCCUCACCGCUGUUUUCCUGAAAGUUUGAAAUUUCACCCCCCUGCCCCCCAUCUUAGCCUUCAGCUUUCAUUCAUUCUCGCCGGUGAAGACCUUUUUCUCCUCUCCCCCUUCCAAGUCUUUCAUGCCCCAAAUUCUCCCACUUCAACCCAUCACGUCAGACCAGCACUUAACAGAAGGCAGUUGUGUUUGGGUAGCAAUGCGCCAGCCUCCGAGGUUGGGUCACGAUGGGUCGAAGCGAAUCUGGCCAUGUGGCCCGGUUUUGGCCAAUGAGGCCUAAGCAGAAGACGUCUGCUCUCUUGACAAAUGAGGUUACAGCUGACAUCGCCUCCGCCAUCAUCUUCCCGCCUUGGGCAGGGAAAGUGAUGGCCGCAGCUGUGGCAGCCACAGCGCGAUCAGGAGCAAGUGGUCAAAAGACUCUCGGAGACAGUGGCCAUGACAUGACUGAGCCACUCAGCCAACACCACAAUUACCUUCGAAUGAUGCUCUUGUUUGGCGAACAGAUAAACCCUUCAGCCCUCCUUUCAGACAGCUAAAAAAGAAAGUUACGACAUUCACAGAAAACUGUGCUUCAGGAAAACAGUUCAAGUUAAGGACAGAAUCAAGUUCACUGACUCAUGAGCUUCUGACAAUCACCCCUCAACACGAAUCUCCCCAUUUCAAUGCCUCUGAAGAACUGAAGUCCAUGACAGCCAAGAGAGAAAGCUUCUGUAAAGACAACUGAAUAGAUAACUUUAAGCUUUGCACUUCCUGAAAGCUUGUCUUUCCCAAACAGUUGCCCUAGAACUGUCUGGCGGCAACUAUGACACUGCCGAUUUGAUCUCCUAAAGCUACGGGGAAUUUUCCCAACAUCUCUCACCACGGAGAAUCCCUUCUCUCCAAGCCGGCCAGGCAGAGGUGGAACAGCCGAAAGGUUUCCUGGGGGUGGGCGGGGUGACGCGCUACAUGGUUUGUUUGGUUUGCCCAGAUACCGUUUUACCUCCUUAGAAUAGCAUUCAUUUUUUUUCCUUUGGGAAGUCAUCCCACCCUCAUUGUCAGUCUUCGUUUGGAUGGAGGGGAUCCCCCGCCCCCCCCCCCCCCCCAGAUCUAGAGAUGGGCAUGUGUCCCGGGCCUGGACAACCUGUGUGCGGUCCAUUCUCCUGGCUACCCGGUGAUUGGAUGAGGACUGGGCAUGUGACCCAGGUGGUCCAGUGAUGGUCAAUCCUGGGACUUUGAUGGGAACUCUGAGAACAGUCGCUCUCUUUUCUCACCGGGGUUGCUAAGCUGAUGGGAGGCAGCCACGGAGCUGAUGGUGACCAUCUUUGUCCCUACAAAGAAUGAAGCUAUUCACCAAUGAAGUCAAUAAAUAAAUAAAUAAAUAAAUAAAUAAAUAAAUAAAUAAAUAAAACAAAUAAGAGACAAAGUCUAACACUGCUCGAGCACCUAUAUCCAGCUCUGCCUGAAACUGGAAACCUGUGCAUAUUAGUUAAUGCAGCCAAUAUAUUUUCAUUUUGAUAUAAAUCAGAUUGAGUUGACUUUCUGUUGACUCAGGAAAAGAGUUCUUUCAUGUACAUCCAGCCACAGGGUAAGCCUUACUCUCAAUGGGUUUAGGGCUAUGUGAGUCCCCUCCUUGUAGGGUUUCUUAUGGGUUCCUUCUGCUUGGUUGGUGGGUAAGGGGUAGGGUUGGUAUAUUGGCAUAGGGGUGACAGGUAGGGGACUUUGGUUAUUCUGGAGUACACAGCACAGAGAUCAAGUGAAGAGGGUUGGGGUCAGGGAGAGCUGGGCAACCAACAUCACCUCCCUGAGCCUCCCUCCUCUCGUCUGUAACUUGGGGGAAUGGAAGUCUCCCUCCGGGUGUGGUGUGGAGGUUUCAGGUACAGUGUCCGGUGCAGAGUGAAUGCGCAUGACACAGUGGCCAAGUAACAGGAUUAGCUAAUUCCAGACAACACACUGUAGGGAGCUGGGUUCUCUUCUCUGGCCUCCGGGGCAAUGUAGGGACAAUGGGGAGGGCUCUGACAGCCUUCACCGUGGUUGGAGCCAAUAACCCAGAGCCUCUGUGGGUACUGCCAGCCACAAGCACCUGCCGAGCAAGCAGCGUGCACCUGCCACCUGCCACCCCAAGAAGAGAUUCCAAUCCAGCCAGAGCAGGUGGCCUCCAUUCCAGGCCAGAUCCUGGCUGUGUGCAGUCUGUGAGCCCGCCCACCUGUGCCGCAGCCGCAGCUGAGCUGUUCUUUGCCUGUCCCACCUCCCACCCCCAGCUUCCUUCCUUGAUCUGCCGCCUCCCAUGUCCCAGGCACUGUGCUGGGGAGCAGAGGGGAUACAAGGAGCGAUAUCCGCAUCGCUGGAGCACCUACCACCUGCCACACCCUGCCAGGUGUGGGCAGCGCGGAUGCACAUCUCCCAGCCUCACGGAUCCUGAGAUGGUGCUAAACGCACCCAUUAUACAGGGGAGCGACUGAGAGCAGUGCCCAUGGAGGUGGCAGGGUCCAAUCCAAAUCCUGGGGUUUCUUCAAAGCCCACAUCCUUCCCUGUGCACGCUGCCUGCCACAAUACGGGUUAUAUUACGAAAUGAUGUUUUUCAUUUAGGUUGAAGUUAAUUAAAAUUCAGUAACCUUAAAAAAACCACUUGGUCUCCCUAGCCACAUUUCUGGGCUCAGUGGCCACACUGGGCUGUUGUGUUAAGCAAGGCAGGUAGGAAAAGAUGCGUGCCUGAUAGAGGAUUCCAGGUCAGGCUUUGGGGAAGUGGUGGCAUUUGAGCCAAGCCUCAAAGGAUCAGUAUGAUUUUAACAGGGAGGGAAUACGUCAAGUACACAAACCAUCAUGGAGAGAAAGAGGCAGAUUCCGCUAGCUGCCCACCCCAUAUCUAUACCCUCUUUUCUUUAGCAACUGAACUUUAAUUUUUGUUAGAAGUGCUAAUAAACCAACUAAAACACAACAAAAACAAAAAACAGCCUGCAUUUCCCAGUUUCCUUUGCAGAUACUGUUGCCAAGCCAUUUCUGAUCAACAGCAUGUGGGAAGUUAGUUGGGUGGAGUUUCCCAAAAAGUACCUUAAAAAACGGGGUUGACUCAGCCGAGACACCCUUUUGCCUUUCCCUCUUCCUCUUUCUGCAUGCC